CCAGACUCCUACGGGAGGCAGCAGUGCGGAAUAUUGGUCACUGGGCGCGAGCCUUCCCCAGCCAAUUCGCUUGAGGGAAGACGGUCCUAUGGAUUUUCCCCCUCUUUUGUCUUUGAGCAAAAGCCGCCACGUGUGUCUUUCCGAGAGUACCCUCCUAAAAAGCCUCUUCUAACUCCGUUCCCUCAGCCGCGUUCCUCCGGAGGAUUCGCUCUUUAUCCGGAUUUAUUGGGUUUAAAGGGUGCGUAGGCGGAAUAUCAAGUCAGGGGUAAAAAUUCGGGGCUCAACCCCGUCGUGCCGUUGAAACUGAUGUUCUUGAGUGGGCGAGAAGGAUGCGGAAUGCGUGGUGUAGCGGUGAAAUGCAUAGAGAGAGAGCAGAACGCCGAUGGCGAAGGCAGCAUGCCGGCUCCACACUGACGCUGAGGCACGAAAGCGUGGGGAGCGAACAGGAUUAGAUACCCCCGUU
rnacentral:rRNA from 1 species